rnacentral:rRNA from 1 species
AGAGUUUGAUCCUGGCUCAGGAUGAACGCUAGCGACAGGCCUAACACAUGCAAGUCGAGGGGCAACAUGGUAUCAGCUUGCUGAUACCGAUGGCGACCGGCGCACGGGUGAGUAACGCGUAUGUAAUCUACCUGUAACAGAGGGAUAACCCGGAGAAAUCCGGACUAAUACCUCAUAGCACAUAUUAUUCGCAUGAAUUUUAUGUUAAAGAGACUCGGUUACAGAUGAACAUGCGUUCCAUUAGCUGGUUGGCGGGGUAACGGCCCACCAAGGCAACGAUGGAUAGGGGUUCUGAGAGGAAGGUCCCCCACACUGGUACUGAGACACGGACCAGACUCCUACGGGAGGCAGCAGUGAGGAAUAUUGGUCAAUGGACGGAAGUCUGAACCAGCCAAGUCGCGUGGAGGAAGACGGCCCUACGGGUUGUAAACUCCUUUUACCUGGGAAUAACGGGCGCUACGCGUAGCGCUGUGCAAGUACCGGGAGAAUAAGCAUCGGCUAAUUCCGUGCCAGCAGCCGCGGUAAUACGGAAGAUGCGAGCGUUAUCCGGAUUUAUUGGGUUUAAAGGGUGCGUAGGCGGAAGAAUAAGUCAGCGGUGAAAUGCUUCAGCUCAACUGGAGAAUUGCCGAUGAAACUGUUUUUCUAGAGUAUAAAAGAGGUAUGCGGAAUGCGUGGUGUAGCGGUGAAAUGCAUAGAUAUCACGCAGAACCCCGAUUGCGAAGGCAGCAUACUGGGCUAUAACUGACGCUGAAGCACGAAAGCGUGGGUAUCGAACAGGAUUAGAUACCCUGGUAGUCCACGCCGUAAACGA